AGAAGCCUGGGGUGUUUGUCGCUGGCGAAAAAUUAACCACUGGAUUUUCGCAGGGAGCACGUGUUUCAUUAUAGAUGAUAUGCCUUCUCGAAAGGACAUCAGAAGUAGUGGAUAGUCCACCCACUUAUAAAGGGUGUGGUGCUAAUUUUUUAGAAGUGACGGCACUCUGGGUGCUUU
rnacentral:other from 1 species